UCACUUCCCCCUCCUCCCCUGAAUGCUCCGCUCUCCUUCUCCUCCCGCUCCCCUGCUUCCCGCGAAUCAGAUGUUUGCAAGAAGCCUGAAACAAGCAGCAGGCACGCAGGGGCUGUCAGGCAUCUUAUGGUUAUGGUUCCCUGAUUCCCUGCCCAGCUCAGACCUGGCUCCAAGGUAACUUCAAGCAGCCUAGAGGCUACUCUAACCUUUGAAGCAACCUUGAGAUCAAAGACUAUAAAACCUCUGGAAGAAGCCGCAAAAAAGCAAAGA